rnacentral:rRNA from 1 species
AGUGAACGCUGGCGGCGUGCCUAAUACAUGCAAGUCGAACGGAGAUUCAGUAGCUUGCUAUUUAAUCUUAGUGGCGCACGGGUGAGUAAUAUAUAGCUAACUUGCCCAUUACUAAGGGACAACAGUUGGAAACGACUGCUAAUACCUUAUACUCCGUAUCUAUAUAAGUAGAUACGGGAAAGUUUUUCGGUAAUGGAUAGGGCUAUAUCGUAUCAGCUAGUUGGUAAGGUAAUGGCUUACCAAGGCUAUGACGCGUAACUGGUCUGAGAGGAUGAUCAGUCACACUGGAACUGAGACACGGUCCAGACUCCUACGGGAGGCAGCAGUAGGGAAUAUUGCUCAAUGGGGGAAACCCUGAAGCAGCAACGCCGCGUGGAGGAUGACACUUUUAGGAGCGUAAACUCCUUUUCUUGGGAAAGAAUUAUGACGGUACCCAAGGAAUAAGCACCGGCUAACUCCGUG